rnacentral:rRNA from 1 species
AGUGAACGCUGGCGGUAGGCCUAACACAUGCAAGUCGAACGGCAGCACAGUAAGAGCUUGCUCUUACGGGUGGCGAGUGGCGGACGGGUGAGGAAUACAGCGGAAUCUACUUUUUCGUGGGGGAUAACGUAGGGAAACUUACGCUAAUACCGCAUACGACCUACGGGUGAAAGCAGGGGAUCUUCGGACCUUGCGCGAUUGAAUGAGCCGAUGUCGGAUUAGCUAGUUGGUGGGGUAACGGCCCACCAAGGCGACGAUCCUUAGCUGGUCUGAGAGGAUGAUCAGCCACACUGGAACUGAGACACGGUCCAGACUCCUACGGGAGGCAGCAGUGGGGAAUAUUGGACAAUGGGCGCAAGCCUGAUCCAGCCAUACCGCGUGUGUGAAGAAGGCCUUCGGGUUGUAAAGUCCUUUUGUCGGGGAAGAAGGGAAGAAGGUUAAUACCCCGCCGUACUGACGGUACCCACAGAAUAAGCACCGGCUAACUCCGUG